AUGAAAUUUGGGCUGAGCUGGAUUUUUACUCUGGCCCUUUUAUAUGGUGUCCGGUGUGAGGUCCAGCUGGUGGAGUCUGGUGGAGACCUGAGACAGCCUGGGGGGUCCCUGAGACUCUCAUGUAAAGGCUCUGGGUUCACCUUCAGUGGCUACUAUAUGCACUGGCUCCGUCAGUUUCCAGCAAAGAGACUGGAGUGGGUUGGUUUCAUUAGAAACAAAGCUAAUGGUCAGACAACAGAGUAUGCUGCUUCUGUGAAAGGCAGAUUCACCAUCACAAGAGACGACUCCAAAAGCACCACUUAUUUGCAAAUGAGCAGUCUGAAACCAGAGGAUGCAGCCUUGUAUUACUGUGCAAGAGACACAGUGAGAGGAAGUCAAUGUGUACUAAGGAAAAAACUCCCUUCAGAUAGAGAAUGA